rnacentral:rRNA from 1 species
AUUGAACGCUGGCGGCAGGCUUAACACAUGCAAGUCGAGCGGGGUGAUGGUGCUUGCACUAUCACUUAGCGGCGGACGGGUGAGUAAUGCUUAGGAAUCUGCCUAUUAGUGGGGGACAGCAUCUCGAAAGGGAUGCUAAUACCGCAUACGUCCUACGGGAGAAAGCAGGGGAGCACUUGUGACCUUGCGCUAAUAGACGAGCCUAAGUCGGAUUUGCUAGUUGGUGGGGUAAAGGCCUACCCAGGCGACGAUAUGUAGCGGGUCUGAGAGGAUGAUCCGCCACACUGGGACUGGGACACGGCCCAGACUCCUACGGGAGGCAGCAGUGGGGAAUAUUGGACAAUGGGGGGAACCCUGAUCCAGCCAUGCCGCGUGUGUGAAGAAGGCCUUAUGGCUGUAAAGCACUUUAAGCGAGGAGGAGGCUCUUUUGGUUAAUACCCAAGAUGAGUGGACGUUACUCGCAGAAUAAGCACCGGCUAACUCUGUGCCAGCCGCCGCGGUAA